UGGGAGGGCAAGCUGGCACCUAUGCCGAGAAUUGAGAUGUCAGCAGUUUAGGAAAUGGCCAAAGCCCUCCUGCAGCACCAGUGACACGUAUCACCGCCCUGCUCCCCUGCUGCCACCCCACUGCGUCCACAGCAACAGCAGUCAUGGGCUCAGGACGACAUAUGUGGCUCUCAGCCGCCAGCGGAUGACAGAGUAGAGAUAGCAGAGACUCCGGUACAUACGGAAGAGGUGGCUCUCACCCGAAGCAGCCAACGAUGCCGCUGGGCUCUGCCUGCUCACGGUGGGUGAGACCAGAAGUGAGUGGGUGAUGCCGUAUGGGUGCGUGCAGAAGUAGGCACAGAGCAGAGCAGCUGGGGAGGAGCAGUCUUUGAGGAGUUUUUGAGUGAACACGCCAUAUGCCUGUUUCAUCACGAGUGCAAAUCAGCAGGAGGAAAAAGGAUGUCCUUAAAGUGACGUGAAGCCAUCAAAGGAGCUCUCAGGCCCCCCUUCAGAAGGCAGAGGGGAAAAAAAAAAAACACCUGAGCAAGUUCCUGACAUCAACAUCUGAAUCUUCCUCCUCUGAAUGCUGUAGAGAUGAAACGUUUCUCUCUCUGCUCUGAGCCUCAGUUUCUUUUUUUGUAAAAUGAGGACGAUAACGAUUCCAGCGUAGGCAACUUCAUCGGGUUGCUAUCUGGACCACAGCUGGUACUGGAUGUGAAAGUACUUGGUAGGCGACGCAGCCCCAUGCACCUGACAGGGGCGGCCCACGUCAGGUCUCAGCCGCAUUCUGGGUUGAGGUCUGUGUAGCCUCAACUAGGUCAUUCCUGGCUGUGCGAAGCAGCCCCCUGCAACGGCCCCUGAGUUUCCAGGACUGGAAAACAGAUGAAUUCCACGUGAUCCCUUUCCUCAGGCUUUUCUCCAGAUGGGGUGUGCCUUGAGGGUGGUGAGGAAGCUUGAGGAAUGCUCAAGGGUCCCUUUACGGGAAGUCUCCAGAUGCGAUCUCCUGUGGCAAACACCUGACCUGAGGACCCCAACUCCCAUCAUCGCCCUGUUAGAGGAGGCAGACUGUGGGAGGUCAUGUGGUGCUGCAUACGUGACAUUGCCUCCCCACGCAGGCAGGAAAAAGAAAGUCCUAAAGGGCACAUAGUUAUUAUUCUGAUUUCAUAGACGAAGAAACCGAGGAUAAGAAGGGUUAAGCUCCUCCUUCACAUUUGCACUGCUAGUAAGAGGGAGAUGUGGCAUUUGAACUUGGGGCAGCCUGACUGCAAAGCCUUGACUGGUUCCUUUAUAUCACCACGUGUGAUACAAUGGUUGUCACGUGUGUAAUAAUGCUUGUCUCACAAGAUGGAAAACUGCAGAGGGUCCGUGAAAGAAGGAUGGAUGAUGUGCCGUGCAGUUUUAGAGGAGGGAGGGAUCACUUCUGGUCAGAGAAAUCCAGGAAACCUUCAUUGAGGAGGUGGCUUUUGCCUCCAGGUCUUGAAGAAUAGGCCAGAUUUGGACAUUCAGAGAUGUCUAUUCUUCCCGUCAGUUGUCCCUUCUGUGGGCUGUGUGGCUGGCUUCCCACAUCUGGUGAAUCUUCGCAAAAUCCAUUUAGUCCCCAGCCUCAUCCUCGUUCUCACUGUCCCCGCACAAGAGAAGUCCCGGAAUACUGGGAACGGGAGAGGAAGUCACUCCGAACUGGGUUCGACUAAAGAACCUUCCUGGAACAGGCCCUGGGGAGAGGUCUGAUGCGACUCGACUUAAGUGCCAGUUCUCGAGUGAGCUUUCCCUGCCCUCCCAGACUAGACCGUGAACCCCGAUUUCAUGUACUUACCACAAGAGUUAUGAGUGAAUUAUUUUCAAUUUGAUGCCUGUUUCUGCUGCUGGACGCGUUUUCUCUCUGGCUGUCUACGAAAGACAUCCCAAAGAAUGCGUGAUUACGUCGAGUCAUAUGCAAGGAUUCUGGUGGGGUGUCUGGCCUAUCAGUGUUUGACAACAACUAUUUGCAUCCCAAGUGAUGGGUGUCCCACUCUUUCCAAGCACCAUUCUCCACAGGGAUAGAUGGAAACAGCUGGAACGGAGGGGGGAGACUUUGGCUGUAAACCUAGACAGAGGUUCUCUUCUUCUCUCUCAGCCUCAGUUUCCCCAUCCACAAGACGGGAACCAUGUUUGGGCUUCCCCGAGGCUCUACCGAUGGUGUGGACGGCAGCUCCUUGGCAGGUGGGAAGAGGACACCAGAGGUGCCUGGAGCCCCUUUUCCAGUCUUCAGGGCUGGGAAGACCAAGAUCAAGGUGCCAGCAAAUCCAGAUCGCUGUCCGUCGGGAACCCUCCUCUUGAUUUGAAGGCUGUGUCCUCACAUGGCAGAGAGAGAUGUCCUCCUUAUAAGGGAAGAAAAGGGGACAUCUUCGGUGGGGCAGCCAAUGCAACUUCCACGGUAUUUUUCGGCCGGCUGGGAGCCCAUGCUUGUGUAAUGCCGUCAGGACAGCAUGCAGAGAAUGUCACUCACUGCAGGACCCCACUGACACCAGGGCAGUCACGAUAUAGCCAAACCCCAUGCCAAGGGACACCAAAGACGAAAGCCUCCGUGGGCCACAUCAUUCGCCUGCAACAUCCCUCAAAGUGUAGUGGCUUGUAUACCUGGUCACUGUUAGUAGUGGGCAUAGAGAGAUGACAGACACAGAUUCUUGUCCUCUGGCCAUAAAACCAGCUGCCUAGAAUUUGGCGAAGUGACCAGUUUUGCUGAAAUAAAAACUCGGUUUUACGCGGAAGUGAUUCACUGCUCUGCAUCCAACAUCAACACACUUCCUGCUUCCCCUGUCUUUGAAUCCAGAUGUUGGCUUAAUACAUCCACAGAGCACCUCCCACAUGCUGGGCACCGGGCUCGGUGCUGAGAGGGAUCCAGAGAUAAUCCGUGAGGGCCGAGGGCCCGGGAGCUCACGGUCCACGAUGGAGAUGCCACCCGUGUCCAAUGACUGAGCAGACCGUCACCAGCCCUCUCGGUGGGGCCCCCCAGACUAGAGCCACUGGGAAAGAGCACAGACGUGCCGAAGAACCAUCAGACUCAGAGCUGGCAAAGUGUCUUUAGAGCUUUGCUCUCCAGUGGGUUGGGCCAACCUUCUCGAGGGGUCCUUGCCGCAAGACUCCCUAAGGUUCUGAGUGGCCUCGGUAGCUGGUGUUUGACAGGCAUAUGGGGAGAGGCCCAUGCCUGCUCUCCCAGAAUUCUGUGUUCCUCUGUAUCCUUGGCAGGGUCAGAAGACAGAAACCAUUUCUCACAGUCUCGGCAAAUGUCAGCCCCGGAAAAGGCCCCGAAGAGGGUUUAAUCCAGUCUCCCUCAUUUGUAGCAACUGAGGCCCAAAGAAGGAAAGCAGGGAUGCAGCCUAUCUUGGAGAACUAAGGGUUUACAUUAUUGCUUUUAAGGUAUCCGAAGAAGAACGCAGAGCCGGACGAGGGCCCUGCCGCCUGCGGCACAUUCACAGAGAUAUUCUGUCAAGGGAAGGAAGGGAAAAAACAACAGCGAACAAGCCAUCUAUUCUUGUCUGCGCCAUUUUCCCAUGUCAGGAGCAGACUGUGCUGAAAAAUUUAGGUUUUCUGCUUUCAUGCUUCCUUUCACUGCACUCUGGACAAAAUGCCUUUCUUUCCCCCCUUUUCUUUGGCGGGAUCCUGACCAAGGCUGUAGAAAAAGAAUCUUUUUAAGAACAUAUAUAUCUAUCUAUCGAUAUACAUUCAGCCCCUGACAGUGACACGGAACUGUAGUGCCUCUUAAUUACCCAGGAAGUGACAAGGUCAAGAGGUAUCUGAAAGCCGCCUUGUGCUUCUGGGCAUUGGUUUCUCACCAUUGUCGCCGCUUCACAAGCUGGAGUGGGGGCCAUGGCGCCUGGUUUUUGUCCACUGUUUGGAGUUCUUCCUUUCUUCCUUCCUCACUUUUUUUUUUUUUUUUUUUAAUUUGAAAAGAAACUUCUGGCAUUUGGGGUAUUGAUUGAAAAUUCGUAAAGGCAGGACGCGUUUCGGGUUGGCUGACCAGUGAUAAUUGCUGCUUGUGCGCUUGGGGAGGGGGUCAGCUUCCCGCAGCAACACCCUCUCCUGAUGCCCCCAUUCUCUGGCUCCUCUCCCACUUUCUUCCUAUUAUCUCUGGGCUUUCCGGGAGAAAAUGACAAUUAAAGAGAAAUGUUCAUGCCCACGUGUAGUCACUGGCUAUAUUUAUGAGGCACAGAGCAGUUUGUGCCCUUUGCGCUUCGUGCAGAGUUUUGAGGCAGAUAGUAGUGUGUUUUAAAGGAGGGGAGCUGAGGCUUUGAGUCACAGUCACCAAGAAAUCAUAUCAUAAAUACCAAAGUAGAACCGUUGGUGUUUCUGAAAACUUUGGAUCAAAGUUUUAGAAAUUCCUGGAAAGGGUUGUCAGCUUCUAUUUGGGGAUUAGAGAAGCCAGAGCCUUCUCUAGAUAACUCAGAAAAAUGAGUGGUGCACAGAGGCUUACCUGAAUACUUUGUUCUUCAGUAAAACCUAUGGAAAGGGAUUAUAUUCCCAGAGCAGAGAAAUGGUCACUUACUGGACUGAUAACAGAGGAGGUCUUCAAAAUGCUGCCAUGUCCUAAUGGAUGUGAGACUUUUGACUAAGAAAAGUCAGAGCCUACAGCAUGCAGGUCUCCAAACCUUCAUUUUCCUUGUCAUUGGAGCAACCUGCGCAAACAUAAAUCUGGAAUCCUCCGCAGCUUUUAGGAAGCAGUCAGGGGCAUAACAUUUUUCUUUUCAUCGUACAAAUGGAACCUUGGAAAGCUAAGGCCCCAAAUCCAAUGGUGUUAAACACAGAAAGAGUCCAUAGUGAGAAAUCUUACAACUCUUUAGAGAAGUCUUGGAUUUUCUUUCCAAAUCUUCAUGCUUUUUAUCAAGGUUUGAAAUAUACCUAGAACAGAUAAGCCAGCCCACUGGCUUUAGCUUGUAAGGUAUAAAGAAUGGAGUGAGAGGCUGGGAGUCAAGGCAGAGUUUUGGUCUUACUUUACAUCUGAUCUUGUGCAAGCCAUGUUCCCUUGAGGAAACCUUGGUUUCCUCAUCUGAAAAAUGAGCAGUUGCACUGGUUGCCGUGGGGCCCAAAGAUUCAGCUGCAGCCCAAAAAGCAGGAACAAGGCAUGUAUUGACAGCCACUUUAGAAUGCCAGUAAAAACUCGUCAGGCUUCAGGUUAGGGACACAUUAAAAUAUAUCUGGGCCUUUGUCAUCUGCAAAUAUUGACUGCAUAAGACUUGGGGUUCAGUCUGAAUUGAAUAUUCCCAAUGUGUUUUCCUGAGAUCAGAACUAGAUUGUGGGUAGCUAGACAAGACACAGAAGCUGUUGAAUGACCACUGAAUCAGAAAAUAUACUAAUGCGAUGCAGACGUCCAGAUAUGACCAUGUCCCAAAGCCCUGGGAAAUGCUGCCGGCCUGCUGUUUGUCUCUCCACUCAAAAAUUCAUACAUAUUCCAUGCAUCCAUGCAUCCAUAUAUCCAUCUACCCACCAACUCACCCGUCUGCCCGUCUGUCCAUCUCACUCAUCCACAUGCUACAUGGGACACAGGGAUGAGUGUUAUUCACAAGGAGAUUUGGAAACGCGUUGUGGGGCUCGGAUGAAGGGAGACAUCCCUUCGAGCAGAGGACAUCAGUGAAGGCUUCACGGAGAGCUGGCAUUUGAGCUGAGUUUGGAAGGAUGGGCAAAGUGUGAAGAAAGAUGUGUGAGCAAAGGCAUGGAGAUAGGAAAGUACGGUACUUGUCUUGGGGCACAAUGACUAGGCCAGAAGGAAAGUCAAAUGAGCAAGAAGAUUGAAGAAACAUUAACUCUGGGCAUCAAGGCAAUUAAAGAGGACUUUGGAAUGAGCCCGUUUUACGGUGGAGAGAGCAGGACAGAAGGAAGUUAAGGAAGGUGGGAGGGGUGGGGAGAUACUAGGCACUGACCAGCGAGUUUUGUUAUGGGAAAGGGUGUGUGAAUAAAAUAUAGAAAGGCAAAAGGAAA